GUUACAGAUUUAUCCUGAUCUUCAUGGACAACAUUUCUUAUAAAAAUGCAAAGGUUAACAAUGAUUGGUCUAAACCAGUAUACUGCAAUAAAACACAGGGACACCAUAAAAUCAGUGAUGUGACACAGUAAUAAAUUGGGGAUUUUACAGAUAGUACAGGGUAAUACAAAAACCCUCGUCAGCGUAUUUGGUCUGCUGCCAGUUUGCACAUCGAUGCUCUAAAUUAUAUUUUAAUACAAUUCAUUUUGAGGAAUAGUUUAUCAUUUCUUUUUCUGAAAGACCAAACCCAAUGAACUGUGCUUUAAUUUAUUUUAAUCAUAGUCUGAGGUUGUCUAAAAUACAGUAAAGG